GACGAACGCUGGCGGCGUGCUUAACACAUGCAAGUCGAGCGGAAAGGCCACUUCGGUGGUACUCGAGCGGCGAACGGGUGAGUAACACGUGAGUAAUCUGCCCCUGGCUUUGGGAUAGCCACCGGAAACGGUGAUUAAUACCGGAUACGACCACUUCUCGCAUGGGAUGGUGGUGGAAAGUUUUUCGGCCAGGGAUGUGCUCGCGGCCUAUCAGCUUGAUGGUGAGGUAAUGGCUCACCAUGGCUUCGACGGGUAGCCGGCCUGAGAGGGUGACCGGUCACACUGGGACUGAGACACGGCCCAGACUCCUACGGGAGGCAGCAGUGGGGAAUAUUGGACAAUGGGCGGAAGCCUGAUCCAGCAACGCCGCGUGGGGGAUGACGGCCUUCGGGUUGUAAACCUCUUUCAGCAGGGACGAAGCGCAAGUGACGGUACCUGCAGAAGAAGCACCGGCCAACUACGUGCCAGCCGCCGCCGUAAAAC
rnacentral:rRNA from 1 species